rnacentral:rRNA from 1 species
AGAGCGAACGCUGGCGGCAGGCCUAACACAUGCAAGUCGAGCGCCCCGCAAGGGGAGCGGCAGACGGGAGAGUAACACGUGGGAACGUACCCUUCAGUUCGGAACAACCCAGGGAAACUUGGGCUAAUACCGAAUACGUCCGUAAGGAGAAAGAUUUAUCGCUGAAGGAUCGGCCCGCGUCUGAUUAGCUAGUUGGUGAGGUAACGGCUCACCAAGGCUACGAUCAGUAGCUGGUCUGAGAGGAUGAUCAGCCUCACUGGGACUGAGACACGGCCCAGACUCCUACGGGAGGCAGCAGUGGGGAAUAUUGGACAAUGGGCGCAAGCCUGAUCCAGCCAUGCCGCGUGGAUGAUGAAGGCCUUAGGGUUGUAAAGUCCUUUCGACGGGAAGAUAAUGACGGUACCCGUAGAAGAAGCCCGGCUAACUUCGUGCCAGCAGCCGC